AGCAGUCGCCGCGGGAAAACGUAGGUGGCAAGCGUUGUCCGGAAUUAUUGGGCGUAAAGGGCUCGCAGGCGGUUUCUUAAGUCUGAUGUGAAAGCCCCCGGCUCAACCGGGGAGGGUCAUUGGAAACUGGGAAACUUGAGUGCAGAAGAGGAGAGUGGAAUUCCACGUGUAGCAGUGAAAUGCGUAGAUAUAUGGAGGAACACCGGUGGCGAAAGCGGCUCUCUGGCUUGUAACUGACGCUGAGGCUCGAAAGCGUGGGGAGCAAACAGGAUUAGAUACCCGUGUAGUCCCUGUCUCUUAUAC
rnacentral:rRNA from 1 species